CUGAGGGGACAACUCGGAGCAGCGGGCUGGAGCCGAGCUGGAGUGGAGUGAGGGGUUAUUUUCUGAGAAACCACCUGUUAUGACUUGCGAAGGAAAAAUAAAAGGCAGUACGCAGAGCCAGGGAAGAUGAAGAGGCUGGAGUAAGAAGAGCCUUUAGAAAGCAGAGCUAUAUUUAUGCUACAAAGGACUAAAUAGAGAAAAAUAUUGAACACUUCAAAGAACCAUUGGGAAGUCCAAUUGUGAGGUGCCCAGGGUACCAUACUAAUACAGAACCACCUUGCCCUUCCGUAAGCAACUUCUCACCUACAACAGAGCAGCAGGG